rnacentral:rRNA from 1 species
GACGAACGCUGGCGGCGUGCUUAACACAUGCAAGUCGAGCGGAAAGGCCCUUCGGUGUACUCGAGCUGCGAACGGGUGAGUAACACGUGAGUAACCUUCCCCAGACUUUGGGUUAACCAUCGGUUACGGGGGCUAAUACCGGAUACGACACAGCUUCGCAUGGGCUUUGUGUGGAAUGUAUUUGGGUUUGGGAUGGGCUCGCGGCCUAUCAGCUUCUUGGUGGGGUGAUGGCCUACCAAGGCGACGACGGUUAGCCGGCCCGGGAGGGCGACGGGCAACACUGGGACUGAGAAACGGCCCAGAUUCCAAGGGGAGGAAGCGGGGGGGAAAAUUGAACAAGGGGCGAAAGCUGGAGGAGGCAAGGCCGGGUGAGGAAGAACGGCCUUCGGGUUGAAAACCCCUUUCAGCGGGGACGAGGCGGAAGUGAGGUUACCGGCAGAGGAAGCGCGGGCAAAUUAGGG